UCACUAAACUUGUUACUGCCUGUCUACUA
rnacentral:piRNA from 1 species